UACAGAGGAUGCAAGCGUUAUCCGGAAUGAUUGGGCGUAAAGCGUCUGUAGGUGGCUUUUUAAGUCCGCCGUCAAAAUCCCAGGGCUCAACUCUGGACAGGCGGUGGAAACUACCAAGCUGGAGUACGGUAGGGGCAGAGGGAAAUUUCCGGUGGAGCGGUGAAAUGCGGUAGAGAUCGGAAAGAACACCAACGGCGAAAGAACUCUGCUGGGCCGACACUGACACUGAGAGACGAAAGCUAGGGGAGCGAAUGGG
rnacentral:rRNA from 1 species